rnacentral:rRNA from 1 species
GAACCGUGCGAACGUUAUUCGGAAUCACUGGGCUUAAAGCGCGUGUAGGCGGGCCAUCACGUCGGUCGCUGAAAGCCCCCGGCUCAACCGGGGAACGGGCGCCGAUACGAGUGGCCUGGAGGCGGGUAGGGGGAGCCGGAACUGCCGGUGGAGCGGUGAAAUGCGUUGAGAUCGGCAGGAACGCCCGUGGCGAAAGCGGGCUCCUGGACCUCGCCUGACGCUGAGACGCGAAAGCCAGGGGAGCGAACGGGAUUAGAUACCCCGGUAGUCCUGGCCGUAAACACUGGGCACUGGGUAGGGGACUCGCCGAUGGGUUCCCUGCCGCAGCGAAAGCGUGAAGUGCCCCGCCUGGGGAGUAUGGUCGCAAGGCUG